CUACGGGAGGCAGCAGUAGGGAAUAUUGGACAAUGGGCGAAAGCCUGAUCCAGCAAUGCCGCGUGUGUGAAGAAGGCCUGCGGGUUGUAAAGCACUUUCAGUCGAGAGGAAAAGCUUAAGGUUAAUACCUUUGAGUCUUGACGUAACCGACAGAAGAAGCACCGGCUAACUCUGUGCCAGCAGCCGCGGUAAUACAGAGGGUGCAAGCGUUAAUCGGAAUUACGUGGGCGUAAAGAGUACGUAGGCGGUUACUUAAGUCAGAUGUGAAAUCCCCGGGCUCAACCCGGGAAUUGCAUUUGAUACUGUGUAGCUAGAGUACAGUAGAGGAUAGCGGAAUUCCACGUGUAGCGGUGAAAUGCGUAGAUAUGUGGAGGAACACCAGUGGCGAAGGCGGCUAUCUGGACUGAUACUGACGCUGAGGUACGAAAGCGUGGGGAGCAAACAGGAUUAGAUACCCCGGUAGUC
rnacentral:rRNA from 1 species